UCCGAGUUGACCCCGGCAGUCUCCUAUGAGUCCCCACCAUCACGUGUUGGCAACAUAGAACGAGGGUUGCGCUCGUUGCGGGACUUAACCCAACAUCUCACGACACGAGCUGACGACAACCAUGCACCACCUGUGUGUAGGCCCCGUAAGGGGAGGAAUCCAUCUCUGGAAACCGUCCUACCAUGUCGAACGCUGGUAAGGUUCUGCGCGUUGCUUCGAAUUAAACCACAUGCUCCACCGCUUGUGCAGGCCCCCGUCAAUUUCUUUGAGUUUUAACCUUGCGGCCGUACUCCCCAGGCGGAUGACUUAACGCGUUAGCUGCGCCACCGAAGCUCCAAGAGCCCCGACAGCUAGUCAUCAUCGUUUACGGCGUGGACUAC
rnacentral:misc_RNA from 1 species